AUUGAACGCUGGCGGCAGGCUUAACACAUGCAAGUCGAGCGGAGAUGAGGUGCUUGCACCUUAUCUUAGCGGCGGACGGGUGAGUAAUGCUUAGGAAUCUGCCUAUUAGUGGGGGACAACAUUCCGAAAGGAAUGCUAAUACCGCAUACGUCCUACGGGAGAAAGCAGGGGAACUUCGGACCUUGCGCUAAUAGAUGAGCAUAAGUCGGAUUAGCUAGUUGGUGGGGUAAAGGCCUACCAAGGCGACGAUCUGUAGCGGGUCCGAGAGGAUGAUCCGCCACACCGGGACUGAGACACGGCCCAGACUCCUACGGGAGGCAGCAGUGGGGAAUAUUGGACAAUGGGGGGAACCCUGAUCCAGCCAUGCCGCGUGUGUGAAGAAGGCCUUAUGGUUGUAAAGCACUUUAAGCGAGGAGGAGGCUACUGAGACUAAUACUCUUGGAUAGUGGACGUUACUCGCAGAAUAAGCACCGGCUAACUCUGUGCCAGCAGCCGCGGUAA
rnacentral:rRNA from 1 species